rnacentral:rRNA from 1 species
UACAGAGGGUGCGAGCGUUAAUCGGAAUUACUGGGCGUAAAGCGUGCGUAGACGGCUAUCUAAGUCGGGUGUGAAAGCCCCGGGCUCAACCUGGGAAUUGCAUUCGAGACUGAAUAGCUAGGGUGCGGUAGAGGGAAGCGGAAUUUCCGGUGUAGCGGUGAAAUGCGUAGAUAUCGUAAGGAAGACCAGUGGCGAAGGCGGGUCUCUGGACAGUUCUGACGCUGAGGCACGAAGGUCAGGGAGCAAACGGG